rnacentral:rRNA from 1 species
AUGGCCAGCUUCACGGAAGAACCGUCGUUCUGGUGCCAUGGGUGCAGACGCCUCCACCAGACCCGCGCCGGCGAAGCCGUCUCGGCAUGCCCCGUCUGCGCACCGGCCCCCGAAGCCUACGUCGAGAGCAUCGUCGACGUCGUGGACGAAAGAACGUUCCUCCGUGGCGGCCAGCCGGAGGACCGGCCCGCCGUCGCCCACGCCGAGCCGCUGCCCCUCGUCACGGUCCGCCAAGCGGGGCUCGCGUGCCCGAUCUGCCUGGACGAGCUGGAGCCCGGCGCCCACGCGGCCGAGACGCCGUGCCAGCACGUGUACCAUCCGGCCUGCCUCGCCACGUGGCUCGGGGCCAGAGGCACCUGCCCGGUCUGCCGCUGCAGGUUCGCCGCCGAGGACCACGCGGCCGGCUCCCCGGACGGCCUUAUCCUGUGCGACCUGCGGAACGGACGCUUUGCCCUCGGCCGGCGUACCGCCGGGGAUUGCUUGCGGAUGGUCGGGAUCCUCGACGAGGUCGGCAUGCUCGUGCAGCAUCCCAGCCCGCCGCUCAACCGCGGGCAGCGUGUCGGCUUGAUGCGCUGGUUCAGGGCAAUGCGCGCCAGGUAA